rnacentral:rRNA from 1 species
AUGAAGAUGGCGAGCAGUGCGCCCCUGUGUCAGCCUCAUGGUCCUUGUGUUCGUCGGGGAAAGAUGGCAGGCCCGGUCCAGAGCAUCACCCGGGCGGAGAUCGACCGUUUCUGGAGCAGAAAGAAGCUGGAGGAAGAGGAACGCCGGCUCGAUGACGAGAAGGAGGCUGCAAGGAUCAAACUCAAGACUCUCAAGGCAAAGCAGCAAGAAGAAUACAUGCUUUUUGAACAAAGGAUAAACGGGAUUAUAGGCGAGAAAACAGAGACAGCCGAGAUGAUGGAGGAGGGAGAGAUCGCCAGGAACAUCGAGAUACAAAUUGGCACUCAAGGAUUGAUAUACUCCACAGAAGAUGCAUUCAAGGUGCUCCCCGCCAGCACUUUACCAGAUGAACUUGACUGCUUUUGGGAUCUUCUAGAUGCUGACACCAAGGAUAAUGAUAGGCGUGCAGUUCUAAGCUAG